UUUUUCAUUUAUUUUUCCCUAGAAAUGAUUGUUGGAAAACCUAACCUAAAUAUUAUCACAAAAAUAUCAAAUAAAUAAACUUAAAUGUACAUUUAAUUCGAAGUAAAAAUAUUCCAGCAGAAGAGAACUUAUUGUAUUCGCACAACGAACUGCCUCCAACUGGACCGAACUGGAACUACGCAGUAUCGUUUUUUGUUUGGUCUGGAGAUACCGAGUUCCAUGUGGAACGCUCACAGGAACUCAUGCCAGAGGAGUUGGAAAAUCUUCGAACGUCUCUUUAUGCAAAAAUAUAGAGAACACGAUGGAGGACGCAGGAAUUGGGACGCUCCGUGAUCUAGGACGCAAUUUGGCAAGUUGGACUUGCACAUACUCGCGAGAUGGAGCACAAACAUUCUAAAUAAGAAUGAAGUUAGCAAGCUGAACAAAUGACCAAAUAUUUCACA